GCAUCCUUUUCAUUUUUUUGAAAAGGAACGGAGAGUAGAAUUCACGUAUUAAUAAACGGACACAUUUUAUGAUGAAGGCCGAAAUUGCGCUUCCCCUCCCUGACGGACCAGCAUCCGCCACUGAUCCAAUGGAACCAAAG